rnacentral:rRNA from 1 species
GGGAAUUCGAUUAACGCGAAGAACCUUACCAGGUCUUGACAUACUAUGCAAAUCUAAGAGAUUAGACGUUCCCUUCGGGGACAUGGAUACAGGUGGUGCAUGGUUGUCGUCAGCUCGUGUCGUGAGAUGUUGGGUUAAGUCCCGCAACGAGCGCAACCCUUAUUAUCAGUUGCCAGCAUUAAGUUGGGCACUCUGGUGAAACUGCCGGUGACAAACCGGAGGAAGGUGGGGAUGACGUCAAAUCAUCAUGCCCCUUAUGACCUGGGCUACACACGUGCUACAAUGGAUGGUACAACGAGUUGCGAACUCGCGAGAGUAAGCUAAUCUCUUAAAGCCAUUCUCAGUUCGGAUUGUAGGCUGCAACUCGCCUACAUGAAGUCGGAAUCGCUAGUAAU